rnacentral:rRNA from 1 species
CGUGUAGGCGGUCUUAUAAGUCUGAUGUGAAAGCCCUGGGCUCAACCCAGGAAGUGCAUUGGAUACUGUAAGACUUGAAUACGGGAGAGGGCAGUGGAAUUCCUAGUGUAGGAGUGAAAUCCGUAGAUAUUAGGAGGAACACCGGUGGCGAAGGCGGCUGCCUGGACCGAUAUUGACGCUGAGACGCGAAAGCGUGGGUAGCAAACAG